UUCAACUCUCCUGUCGCCUGGUGACCUCUCGGCCGGGGCCCCGGAGUGGUCGAGGAGGUCGUUUUUUUUAGCUAAAAUAGGUCUUAGCCAUCGCGUUUUUAAUCGUAUUAGACACAAGUAUAAUAAGGGAGCUUUACAAGCUAUCUUGUCCCCCAGCAAUUGAUAUUCAUCUGUAUACUACCAGAGGCUAAAGGCAAAUGAAGUAUAAGUCCCCACCAGAAGAAGGAACAAGAAGUAACUGGGAAUCUGAGGAACACUUUGGCCAUUUGGGACAUUAUAACAAAAAUAAAUGAGCUUCACAUCAAUUUCCCUAUAUACAAUUAUCAUACCUCUUUAAUAUAGAAUAAUUACCUAGG